rnacentral:rRNA from 1 species
CUUCCGUAGGUGAACCUGCGGAAGGAUCAUUACCGAGUGUAGGGUUCCUAGCGAGCCCAACCUCCCACCCGUGUUUACUGUAACCUUAGUUGCUUCGGCGGGCCCGCCUUUAAGGCCGCCGGGGGGCAUCAGCCCCCGGGCCCGCGCCCGCCGGAGACACCACGAACUCUGUCUGAUCUAGUGAAGUCUGAGUUGAUUGUAUCGCAAUCAGUUAAAACUUUCAACAAUGGAUCUCUUGGUUCCGGCAUCGAUGAAGAACGCAGCGAAAUGCGAUAACUAGUGUGAAUUGCAGAAUUCCGUGAAUCAUCGAGUCUUUGAACGCACAUUGCGCCCCCUGGUAUUCCGGGGGGCAUGCCUGUCCGAGCGUCAUUGCUGCCCAUCAAGCACGGCUUGUGUGUUGGGUCGUCGUCCCCUCUUCGGGGGGGACGGGCCCCAAAGGCAGCGGCGGCACCGCGUCCGAUCCUCGAGCGUAUGGGGCUUUGUCACCCGCUCUGUAGGCCCGGCCGGCGCUUGCCGAACGCAAAACAACCAUUCUUUCCAGGUUGACCUCGGAUCAGGUAGGUAUGGCCGCGUGAACUUAAGCAUAUCAAUAAGCGGAGGAA